CAGGUCGAGAGGCGCUGCGACGGGCCUGACCCGCCACGCUCGACCCUGAUUCGCAGCACAAGGGCGCCUCCGAUGA
rnacentral:ncRNA from 2 species